CAUUUCAAGUUAAAUUUUAAGACUCCAUUCUCCAACUGGUUGAUACCUUCCGUUUUGCUGAAGACUGCCAGAAUCUUCAUUUUAAUCUUCCUCCACUUUUUCUAAAUAAAAAUAAAUAAUGCAAAAAAUUAAACUGCAUCAGUCCAAGCCUAAGAUUAUGUUUUUGCAAAUUUGUAAGGUCAACAUUUUGUAAAAACAGCUCUUAGAAGCAGUGUAAUUUGAGUUGCAUGUUUUUUGGUGGUGUUAUUAUUUUUCUUCAGUUAUUUGCACCUGCAACUUUCCAAGUACAAUUACUCCUAGGUACAAACAAUAUAGCCUAAAAGCUAGCUUUAAAAAUCAAAAGGCUUUCUGGGACCUGUUUGAAAUGCUGGGAAAUAAUAGCUACUCCUUUCAUUAUGGUUGCCUUGCUACAAGUAUUUAAAUCAUCACUUUGUAAAGCACUUCAAGGUACUUAGAAUAUGAGUGGUGCCUUACAAAAUGAAUUAUAAUGUAUUCUCUUCUGAUCUUUUUCUUUUCUGUUCUGUUUUAGAUUAUCCACUUGAUAAUGACCUGUCUGAGAAGAUCAUCAUAAUUUCAAAGCAUUUCAUCUUUUGCUCCACAUUCUUCAAAUCUGUGGAAGAUCUGUGGAAGAUCUCUGGAAGGUUCAUUGUCAUCAUGUACACAGGAGACCAGAGACAUCCAGGACUGCAUCCAGAAGAGUGUCCCCAGCAGGUGAUGAGUGGCAUUCCUUCCUCUCUACUCAGCACUGCAUUCACUUGUUUCUCAUCUUUGGAUCAAGCUUGGAGAGUGAGGAAGAAUAUUUUGACUGCAUUUGUAAUGCUAUGGUCCUUGAACUUCAGCAAUCUUAUCUUUCCUAGUUGCUGCUUUUUAGUUCCUUUUGCAAUUUCUUGUUCGAAUUUUGAAGAUCUGCCUCCUAGUAGAAGGCUGAUCACUAAAGCAGGAGAAUUGUGAACAACAUUCAAUCUCUGUAAUGAACAAAAUAUGAGAUUUCUUUCUAUUAUUUAGAUGUCUUUUCUUCUUGAUUCUAUUAA